GGAUUUUAGCUCAACCGGUUCAGAGCAUUCCGUCUUAAAACGGAAGGGUCGGCGGUUCAGAUCUAUCAACGUCCA
rnacentral:tRNA from 1 species